rnacentral:rRNA from 1 species
AUGAACGCUAGCGGCAGGCUUAACACAUGCAAGUCGAGGGGCAUCGGGAGUAGCAAUACUGCCGGCGACCGGCGCAAGGGUGCGUAACGCGUGAGCAACAUGCCCGUAUCAGGGGGAUAAUCCAUGGAAACGUGGUCUAAUACCCCAUAGUAAUUAUGUAAGGCAUCUUAUAUAAUUUAAAGCUUUGGUGGAUACGGAUUGGCUCGCGUGACAUUAGCUGGAUGGUAAGGUAACGGCUUACCGAUGGCUACGAUGUCUAGGGGUUCUGAGAGGAAGGUCCCCCCACACUGGAACUGAGACACGGUCCAGACUCCUACGGGAGGCAGCAGUGAGGAAUAUUGGACAAUGGAUGGAAAUCUGAUCCAGCCAUGCCGCGUGCAAGGGAAGACGGCCCUAUGGGUUGUAAACUGCUUUUGUAUGGGAGCAAUAAGGGCUACGUGUAGUCCGAUGAGAGUACCAUACGAAUAAGCACCGGCUAACUCCGUGCCAGCAGCGGC